GCUACCAUGUAAACAUGGAAAUCAUGCAACCAUCAGAAUAAAAGAACCUAUCAGAAGCACAUAUCAAAUCAUGCAACCAUCAGAAUAAAAGAUUUUUACAGUUCUAUCACCAUAGUCAUGUCAUUAAAAAGAGACAUAUCCUACAUAAACAUAUAUAUCAAGCCUAAACAAGUAGUAAACAUGUUUACACCCCAUGAGCAGCCAAGAAGCAAGAAGCAAUAGCCAGUACUACUGCCUCAAGCCCUUGAACACAAAAAGGCGAGAACUGGAUGCAGAGGUUUAUCGAUCGAUUCCCGCGUUGUCGUUGGCUGCAACAAGGACCAAAAGGAAGAAAAAAAAAGAACACCCUCUCAAAGAAAUUCGCCGCUCCUGGAUCAGCGCCACAAGGCAGGGAAGGGAUCGAUAAACCACUGCGCCCAGGCAUCACCACCAACCCCCCACCCCCACCUGCGAACAUGAUGGAUUAGCGCAAGAAACCGGAACAAAACAAGAACGGAACACAGAGCCACCUGCAAGAUCGGGCACGAACGAACACUCGUGGGUGUGAAUCUGUGUUUCUCGUGUGUGCAAUGAGGAAGG
rnacentral:precursor_RNA from 1 species